AGAAGCUAUUGUUCUUGAGGCGCCUGGCCAGGUGGCGCUCCGGGCAGGCCUACUUGGGUGUCCUCGCCUCUGAUACCUCCCUGCUGGAGGAAACAGCAGGAAAAGAGAACCAGGCAGGCAGGCAGACAUCCCCACGGAGCAGCGUUGGGCCCCCAAGGUGCCUGACCCACUUCCUAGAGUACUGAACAGUCCCAGAGGGUCACAGCUGGUGUGCAGGGCAGCCUGGAGCUCUCACCUUCAACACGGGGUGUACCUGAGACUUCCAGUGGAUGAGGGUCAGCCUCUGGAGCUGUGAAAACCUGGGCCGACAGCAGAGGCAGAGCUGCACUAAUGUUCCCACACGAGUCCUUCCCACCCAACACCUUGGCGCAGGGAGACAGAAGGAGCCUGGAGCCAGGGCUAGAAGAGGCCUUCAGUUCUCAGGAGAGCCAAAGCGUCUCUGGCCCUAGGUGGGAAAAGAACUGGCUGUGACCUUUGCCCUGACCUGGAAGGGCCCAGCUUUGGGCUGAAUGG
rnacentral:sRNA from 1 species